rnacentral:tRNA from 1 species
UUUCUUUUAGUGUAAUGCACAGGAAGAUUUGAAUUUCCUAGAAAUUAAUUUAAUUAAAGAAAA